rnacentral:lncRNA from 1 species
UUUUUUAUAAAUGUCUAAAGAUUUACUUUAAGAUUAUGAUUCUUUAAAUAAAACAAUAUGUGGUGCAAAUAGCAAUGGUUCUAGAUCCCAAAUAUAUUUACAAAGUCUAAAAAAUAAUUUUAUUUUAUAAAAACUAGUAAGUAAGAUAAAGUAGUACAAAAUAAUAAUAAAAAAGGGAAAGAAAAGAAUAAAAUAAAUAAAAAAGAAAAAAACAUAAAACAUACACAUAGUAGCAGCGGUGUCCAUUUGCAUAACCAGUAGCAUG